UACGGAGGGUGCGAGCGUUUGUCCGGAAUCAUUGGGCGUAAAGGGCGCGUAGGUGGCGGGACAAGCGUGCGGUGAAAGCCUGGGGCUCAACCCCGGGUCGGCCGUGCGAACUGUUUUGCUUGAGCACUGUAGAGGCAGGCGGAAUUCCGGGUGUAGCGGUGGAAUGCGUAGAGAUCCGGAAGAACACCGGUGGCGAAGGCGGCCUGCUGGGCAGUAGCUGACACUGAGGCGCGACAGCGUGGGGAGCAAACAGG
rnacentral:rRNA from 1 species